rnacentral:rRNA from 1 species
CGCGCUUCUGGGGGAGCGGCGGCCGGUUAAUCACGCUGGGGAAGUGCUAGAUUUCUGGAACGCCACCGGAAACGGUUAGUAAACCUUCUACGCCCCCCGGGGAAAGAUUUCUUCGGAUUUUGAUUCGGCCCGCGUCAGAUUAUGUAGUCGGUGGGGUAUUGGCCUACCAAGCCUACGAUUUAUAGCUGGUUUUAGAGGAUGAUCAGCAACACUCGGGACUCGAACACGGCCCAGACUCCUACGGGAGGCAGCAGUGGGGAAUCCCGACAAUGGGGGCAACCCUGAUCCAGCCAUGCCGCGUGAGUGAUGAAGGCCUUAGGGUCGUAAAGCUUUUUUCGCCUGUGAUGAUAAUGACAGUAGCAGGUAAAGAAACCCCGGCUAACUUCCGUGCCAGCAGCCGCGGUAAUACGGAGGGGGUUAGCGUUUGUUUCGGAAUCACUUGGGCGUAAAGCGCGCGUAGGCGGAUUAAUCAGUUAGAGGUGAAAUCCCAGGGCUUCAACCCUUGGAACUUGCCUUUAAUACUUGCUAGUCUUUGAGUUUCGAGAGAGGUGAGUGGAAUUUCCGAGUGUAGAGGUGAAAUUUCGUAGAUAUUUCGGAGGAACACCAGUGGCGAAGGCGGCUCACUGGCUCGAUACUGACGCUGAGGUGCGAAAGUGUGGGGAGCAAACAGGAUUAGAUACCCUGGUAGUCCACACCGUAAACGAUGAAUGCC